CUGGCUCCGGCGGCCUGGGCACCGCGGGGAGCGUGAAUGAGAGUUUGCUCCGAUUUACGAGCAGGAGACUCCAACCGUCAUGUUAAGGUAAAGCAGAAGAGUGCAGUGCUGAACAUGCUAAAGAAGUUGGACAAAAUAAGGUUCAGAGGUCACAAGAGAGAUGAGUUCCUUGAUUUAGCAGAGUCUCCAAAUGCUUCAGACACUGAAUGUGGAGAUGAAAUCCCGGUGAAAAUACCUCGAACGUCAACUCGAGACAAUGAAGAGCUGAGAGACCCUGCUGGUCCAGGGACCAUCAUCAUGGCUUCAGGAGUUCAGGAUUUUAACAGAACGGAAUCUGACAGACUGAAUGAGAUCAAAGGUCACCUGGAAAUAGCCUUACUGGAAAAACACUUUUUACAGGAGGAACUCAGGAAGCUGAGAGAAGAAACAAACGCUGAAACGUUAAGGCAGGAGCUAGAAAAGGAACGGCAGAGGAGAUUAGAACUAGAACAAAAAGUGAAUGAAGUACUUAAAGCAAGGACGGAAGAGGUGCCUGCAGCUCAGCAACCUGCAAAGCCACAGACGCAAGCCAACGGAACAGAUAAGCGAAGUCACACAGUCUGUUCGAGAGUCCAGAAGUGGUUUUUUGACAAAUUUGGGGAGUAUGUUGAGGACUUCAGAUUUCAGCCAGAAGAGAACACAGUGGAAACAGAAGAGCCACUUAGUGCUAGAAGGUUGACUGAAAAUAUGAGAAGAUUAAAGAGAGGUGCCAAACCUGUUACUAAUUUUGUGAAGAAUCUUUCUGCCUUAUCAGACUGGUAUUCUAUCUACACUUCUGCUAUUGCCUUUAUUAUUUACAUGAAUGCUGUAUGGCAUGGCUGGGCCAUUCCUAUGUUCUUAUUUUUAGCAAUUUUGAGGUUGUCCCUAAAUUACCUCAUAGCCAGGGGUUGGAGAAUACAGUGGAGCAUUGUGCCUGAAGUUUCCGAACCCGUGGAACCCCCAAAAGAGGACCUGACCGUGUCUGAAAAGUUUCAGCUUGUUCUAGACGUGGCUCAGAAGGCGCAGAACCUUUUUGGCAAGAUGGCAGACAUACUGGAAAAAAUUAAAAACUUGUUCAUGUGGGUCCAGCCAGAAAUAACACAGAAGCUCUACAUUGCCCUAUGGGCAGCUUUUAUUGCAUCCUGCUUUUUGCCCUACAGGAUUAUUGGGCUUGCAAUGGGACUCUAUGCUGGAAUCAAGUUUUUCCUUAUUGAUUUUAUCUUCAAACGAUGCCCCAGACUAAGAGCUAAGUAUGAUACUCCUUAUAUCAUCUGGACAAGUCUCCCGACAGAUCCUCAGCUCAAAGAAAGGUCUAAUGCUACAGUGUCGAGACGGGCAUCGUUGUAUUACAGUUACCCUAAAAGCUGGAUGCUUCAAACAGCAACAUCCAGAAGUUACGUGGGCUCAAGCUUGCCAACUGGCAUAAGCAAAGAUGAAGACACAAGUCGUUUUCAUACCACCAAGAGGGGGAAUUUCCAUGAAGUUUUUAACCUGUCGGAAAAUGAGCGUCCUUUGGCAGUGUGUGAAAAUGGCUGGCGCUGUUGCUUGAUCAACAGAGAUAGGAAGAUGCCUACAGACUACAUCAGGAAUGGAGUUCUCUAUGUCACAGAAAAUUACUUAUGCUUUGAAAGCUCCAAAUCCGGCUCAUCUAAAAGAAAUAAAGUUAUAAAGCUAACGGAUAUAACGGAUAUUCAGAAGUAUAAAGUGCUCUCUGUUCUCCCGGGAUCAGGGAUGGGUAUUGCUGUAUCAACACCAUCUACACAAAAACCUUUGGUGUUUGGUGCCAUGGUACACAGAGAUGAAGCUUUUGAGACAAUAUUCAACCAAUAUGUGAAAAUAACCUCUGCAUCAUCAAGCAGUGAGAGCUAGUAUCUUAUCUUAGAAGAUCUAAAGGCAACUUUCUUAUUUUACAAUUUGGUAGUGAAAAAAAUGAACAUCCUCAUCUAUUUUGCAAUAAUUUUUCUUGUCUGGUGGUUUAUAUUCUAUCUGUUACAUAAAUCAAGUGUAUUUUAUAUAUGCCUUCAUGUUUGUUUUUAAGGUUUUUGUAAAAAAAAAAAGAAAAAAAAUGAAACAAAACAGUGAAAGUGCUAUCAUCACUAUUAGCCUUGCACAUUAAGCACUUUUAAUGUUUAUUUACUGACAUUAAAAGCUGGGAAGAUACUUGGAGAACUGACUAAAUAAUGAAGUGAAACAGACUGAUCCCUUUAAUUCUACUGAUAUCAUGAGGGAUACAUUUGUCCCUUUAUCUUAGUUCUUUUUCCCCGAGAUGAGAGAACGAUGACUGCAGCAGCCUGAAGUCUCUUUCUUCAGCUCAGAGUUUUUAAUUAGGUUCUUUAUUAAAACUGAUAAGCAACACCAAGGAAGUAUUAUCAUUUUAGUAUUUCCAUAUUUAUAACUGCAUUUAAAAUAACUCCUUCUUGCUAAUUCUCGCAUUGUAGAAGGGUACUUCACCGGUUUGGUUAGGUUCGGUUUUUCCUGCAUAGACAUUUAAAUUGCUUGUACAGUGAAUUGGAGGAGAAAGUUUGUAACUAUAUCUUCCUUUCCUAAUUAACCAAAGUAAGAGGAAGGAAGGCAGGCAGAUACUUUUUAUAAAAGAGGGCACCAAAAUGUUCCUAAAAUGUUAGGCAUCGUAUAUUUGUAUUUCUGUAGAUACUUGUCAUAGAAGGGCUCAACUACUGUACAUGUAUGUACAAAGUGUUUGUAUGUUAAUGCAUUAAAGACUUGCAGGCGUUUUGUGUUGGGGGAGGUGGGAAUAAUUAAACUGGGACAUGAUUUACUUUUUUUUUUUUAAUUGGCUUUUGUCUGGAGUUACCUUGUAAUAAAAUUAACACUACAAUAUAGCAGCUGAAUGCACUAGUUCCUUUUCAAAGCAUAAUUUGAGGGGCAUUGGUAUAUUGCUGUCUUUCCCCUUGCAAAAUUAAAUUUUAGUAACAAUUAAACCCAACUGCCAGGUAGAACAGGAAGGCUGUGCUCCUUCUCUAAACUCUCUCAGGCCUUUUUAGCAGCAAAGCACAUAUUGACCUUUGUCUUUAAUAUUAGAAAGCUUUUAUACUCUAUAUAAUAGCACCCGUCUGAGAGGUUUAGAACUUUAUUUGCAUUUUCAUGAAAGCACAGUAGGAGUUAUGCCAAGCCUUCCAAUAUGUCUUUUCCUUUGCUGGGUCUUUUGAGUUGAGUAGUAUGGAUGUCUCCAGACAUUACAUGAAUGUCCCCAAAAAAUGCAGUGGAGAUGCAAAUCCUUAUGUAAAAGUGGGAGUUAAUUUCAUGGAUUUUUUUUCUCUUUUUUUUUUUUAAUAGAAAUGUUCUUUAUUUAUAAGUAAAGGGGUAAAAUGAAGGAGGGAGAGGGGAGACAAACACCAGAAGGUGUUUAACUCUUGGCACAGUUUAAUUAAAAACUAUCUCUGAACAAAAGCAGUGGUGAUGAAGGUGGCAGUCAAACUGUACAAACCUUAUUUCAGUCUGGCCAAGAAGAGGUAUGAGACGAACUUGAUCUGAAGAAAUACUGUUGAAUACCAUGAUUUGGUUGGGUAUUGUAAAGUGAAACACUGGUGGGGUAAAACUCUACGCCCUGAGUGGAAAGGUGAACAAGAAUGGGGGAGAAUCCACCAUAAUGGCUAAAGUGCUAUUUUUGAGUUCUCCCUUUAGAGUAGCAGUUGAACAUGUCUUCACGUGACCUGCAGAGGGGUGCGUUUCUAACCCCUCCUGAGGCUGCUGUAACUCAGGGCCUGAAAACUUCAAAUGUCAGUGAAGCUGGUGGGAAAUCCAUUUUGCCACCACGUAAUACGGAUGUAGCUUGACAGUUUACAGUUUCUUCACACAUGGAGGUUUUAUGUUUGUGUUAAAAUCCUUGAUCUUAAUUUUUUCUCAUCAAACUUAAUUUAAAAUCAGUGAAUCUCCUUUUGUAAUUGCGGUGUAUUAUCAUUUGGCUUUCCUUUCCAGAAGCUUCCUUGAAUAGUUAUUGUGGCUAAGAAAUAGGCAUUAAAAUCGCUUAAUGUUAUAUAAAUCUUAAUCAGAUUCAUUCAUUUUGUCUUAAGAAAAAAAAGAAAAUCAUUUGGAUGUGUUUAAGGUUAUCCUUUUUUUUGAAGAAACACAAAACUAUAUUUUUUACAAAGAGCAUGCUCUUUUUCUUAUUUUUGUAUCAUUUUUCAAGUGUAAUUUAUACCUUCACUCUGAUCAUGACAGCAGUUUCAGUAGGAAAGCAGUUGACUUGCACUUAUUACCUCCUCCCCCUCCCACCCUUCACUGGUUGGCCCUGGUAUAUAGGGUUGUCCUAGAUUCUGGAUCCUGGAGGAGCUAUAGGUCCUGUGCUGAUGGUGCCAGGACCAUUAACCGUACCUUCGGAGAGGGAGAAAAGAAAUCAUUACCCUUCUCCCAGACUGGAAUGCCUCAUGCGUACAAUAUGCUCUUAAAAUAGUCUUUUUCUGGACAAACAAAUUAGAAACUUCUUAUGAAAUCUAAUGUCUUGGCAUUUGAAAUAAAUCCACACUUUUAGGAGUGUGAACGUAAAAAUUAGCAAUUCUUAAACCUAGUGCAAACUGCAAUGCAACAUUGUUUCAUUCUGAUAUAUAGAAAACAGACUGGUUUCUUUUUUUUAAAAAAAAGAAAAUAGAGUUGUAAUAUAACUGACAAACAUCUGUGUACAUACUUAGCAAAGUGCACUUUACAUUGGGUUGUCCGGGUUGCGGCUCUAUUGAGCUGUUCCUGUGGUGUAGGUGACACCAGACACUAGAAGAAAACCCCGGUGUGUUUGCUCCCAGGGUCUCCUGUGCGUGUCCUCCUGCUGCACCUUCAGGGCGAGGGAUGGACAGGGAGUCAAUAUAGACUUGAUUUGUGUCAUUACACUGAAGUUCACCUUGAAUUCCCAUCAUCUUAGGUAGAGUUGCAGGAUCGCCUGUCCUACUUCAGUAACAGGCUGUGGCUCGUACCACUUCAUGUAAAGUGCUACUUUCUAAUAGCAGAACGUGAUGUUCUUGUCAUUCUGUCUGUCUGUUUGCUGUUUAUACUUGCAAUUCUGUUGAUGUCUGUGGUUCAUUGCUGGAUCAUUCACAUGUAAUCAGAUUUAACUUCUUUAGAAGUGCGUUGGUUGGUUUGAGUCCCUUUUAAAGAGAUUAAAAAAAAAAAAAGGGAGAUGAAAACUGACUGCUUUAAUUCUUUACCGGUGACCGUUUAAAUUCAAAAGGAAAAAAUAAAGCUGAAAUAUGAAAUCAUGCCUUUCCAUGCGCUGUAGCUUUUGUGAGGCAAGAUUGAAUGAAACAAGCUAUUUAUUGGUAGCGACAUCACACAGGACGCCAGCAGCAAAUCCCAACCCUUGUUCCUGCAGACGAAGAGAAAAGAGAUUUUACCCAGACGUGAAGAGAUGAAAGGAUGUACUUUUUUUUGGCUACUUAAACUUGUAUUAAAAACACUGGUAGUUUUUAUUGAAUUCUGUACAUUUUGGCAGAUGUUUAAUUUCUACUAAUCAUUGAAAUAUAAUGGAUGUUAAAAUUUUUAUGUCUGAAGUUUGAGUCUAUAUUUUGAAGUUGUAAAUAAUUCAUUAUCAGUGUAACUUUUGUUUGACAAAAGACUUAUACUGUAUGAAGAAUUGAAAUAAUGAAAUGAUGUGCCCUGUACAUUUUUUAAGAAAAUCUCGUUUGUUUAAAAAGUCUUGUAUAAAUUAUAAUUUUUAUUUAAAUAAACCUAAAAAUGCUUUGUGCUAA